rnacentral:lncRNA from 1 species
AAAAGAAAAAGAAAAAACUAAACAAAAAAUCCCUCUAGGUAGUUUAGGUGAAAAAUGUCCCUUUUAUUUUGGCUUUGGUUGUGAUUUCAGAGCAUAAUGCUUUGUUUUUUUGUCUUUUUACUAUGUUUUUCAGAUUUUUAAGUCCGUAAGUGCAUACAGUUUUCUCUAAUUUUUAAACCCUUUCCUCCUCCCAUUUUGACAUUUGCACUUGGAGAACACUUGAGUUGUGAAGGUUUUGGGCAUCCACCCCAGAAAGUGGGAAUUUGAUUUUAUCCUUCCGAACUGGAAGAACAUUUUUAUGAAGAAUUUUUGUCUAGGAGAAUAUAACAGUGUUACCCAAGCUUGUGUCUUUAAG